GAGGGUGUAGCUCAGUGGUAGAUCACUUGCAUAGACUAUGUAAGUCCCUGGGUUCAAUCCCCAGCACUACUG
rnacentral:tRNA from 1 species